UACGUAGGGGGCAAGCGUUGUCCGGAUUUAUUGGGCGUAAAGAGCGUGUAGGCGGCCGCACAGGUCCGUUGUGAAAACUGGAGGCUUAACCUUCAGACGUCGAUGGAAACCGUGCGGCUAGAGUCCGGAAGAGGAGAAUGGAAUUCCUGGUGUAGCGGUGAAGUGCGCAGAUAUCAGGAAGAACACCCGUGGCUAAGGCGGUUCUCUAGUACGGUACUGAUGCUGAGACGCGAAAGCGUGGGGAGCGAACAGG
rnacentral:rRNA from 1 species